rnacentral:rRNA from 1 species
CGGCCGUAACUAUAACGGUCCUAAGGUAGCGAAAUUCCUUGUCGGGUAAGUUCCGACCCGCACGAAAGGUGUAACGAUUUGGGCGCUGUCUCAACAAAGGAUCCGGUGAAAUUGUAGUAGUCGUGAAGAUGCGACUUACCCACGGUAGGACGGAAAGACCCCGUGGAGCUUUACUGCAGGUUGACAUUGAAUUUUGGGAUUAAAUGUACAGGAUAGGUGGGAGACGAAGAAGCAAGCUCGCCAGAGUUUGCAGAGUCACUGUUGGGAUACCACCCUUUUAAUUCUAAAGUUCUAACUAGUUACCAUGAAGCUGGUAAUAGGACACUGUCAGUCGGGCAGUUUGACUGGGGCGGUCGCCUCCAAAAAAGUAACGGAGGCGUUCAAAGGUUCGCUCAGAAUGGUUGGAAAUCAUUCAAAGAGUACAAAGGCAAAAGCGAGCUUAACUGCGAGACAUACAGGUCGAGCAGAGACGAAAGUCGGACUUAGUGAUCCGGUGGUACCGAGUGGAAGGGCCAUCGCUCAACGGAUAAAAGCUACCCCGGGGAUAACAGGCUUAUCUCCCCCAAGAGUCCACAUCGACGGGGAGGUUUGGCACCUCGAUGUCGGCUCGUCUCAUCCUGGAGCUGGAGUAGGUUCCAAGGGUUGGGCUGUUCGCCCAUUAAAGAGGCACGCGAGCUGGGUUCAGAACGUCGUGAGACAGUUCGGUCCCUAUCCACCGUGGGCGUGAGAAAUUUGAGAGGAUCUGUCCUUAGUACGAGAGGACCGGGAUGGACAGACCGCUGGUGUACGAGUUGUACUGCCAAGUGCACAGCUCGGUAGCUACGUCUGGGAAGGAUAAGUGCUGAAGGCAUCUAAGCACGAAACCAACCUCGAGAUAAGAUUUCUAUGAGAUUACUUGAAGAAAACAAGAUAGAUAGGUCAGAGGUGUAAAGAUAGUAAUAUCAAAGCUAACUGAUACUAAUAAAUCGAAAACUUGACUGG